AUGUUUCAGGGCCGGGUUUCUGGAGCUGGAUUUGUGAGAUUUUGGGGAUUUUCAGGAUUUUGGGGGAUUUUCCAGGAGCGGGUUCCGGGCGGGGUUCCUGGAGUUCCUGAACGUGGAUCCCGCCAUCCUGGCCCCGUUCCAGCUGGCCCAGUCCCUGCCCCGGCCCUGCGUCCUGGGCAGGAUCCUCCUGGAGCUGGUCCUGGAGCCGCCGGACGAGCGGGAUCCCGUCAGCAGGGAGCUGGAAAAGCACCGCCGUUCCCUGUGCCGGGAUCUGGCCGCCAACGCCCGCCGGGUGCAGCAGCAGCUCGGCCGCGCCCCCGGGAUCCGGUGCCAGCCCCCGGCCGCGGGACCCCGAGUGUUCCCAAAAUUCGAGAUCCCGCCCCGAGCCCGGAGCCAGGCCCGGGCGCUGGGCCUGGAGCCCGAUGGCUUCUUGUGCCGGUGGCUGCGGGAGAGAGCGGGGCUGGGGGUGACAGCGGGGAGCGACUGCGGGCUGGGGACAGGGGACAGCGGGGACAGCGGGGACAGCGGGGACAGCCCCCCCCCCCCCCCCCCCCCCCCCCCCCCCCCCCCCCCCCCCCCCCCCCCCCCCCCCCCCCCCCCCCCCCCCCCCCCCCCCCCCCCCCCCCCCCCCC
rnacentral:lncRNA from 1 species